AAGCAUAUUCUACAUGUCAGACAUAUUGCUGAACAUGGCAAUUGAUGAAUAUCAUCAUUUCAGGGAGGACAUAAGUGAAUAGUUUCCUCAAGGAACCACUCAUUCAGCACCAUUAGUAGGAAGUGGGCAUGAAUUUACGCCAGGCGUUGGCGAAUUUAAGCAGAACUUUUUGCCUGACACGCCAAGGGUCGUAGCUCGAUUUAGAAUUUUAACUUUUACGGUGGUUUUUUUCCUCCACGAAUGAUCGAUUGUUAAUGGUUGGCUUCCGACUUAACUGCAAUUCUGACAGUUUGAUGUAACUAAAGCGAGCAUUUAGCUUUAGAGUCUUAUCUCAAAAGAAUUUUUAUCAUUUUGUUCUUUCCCAGUGCAGCAUCUUUGUUUCACUGUCUAAUGA